UCACUAACCUUGGAUGUUCUUCAGAACUUGCUCCUCUGGAACAUAUAUCUUCUCAAGGGUUUUUCCAAUCUUCUUUUCCCAUAAGGAGACAAUUUCGUUGAAUGAGUAGGUGUUCUGAGGAGGCCUGAUGUAAAGGAUUUUGUUCAAGGUUCUAGGAUCAUCCGCAGCUUUAAUGGUAUAGGUGCCAAUGUCAUCCUCCUUGUUAAAAACAGCUGGAGAUGCAAAAAUGAAAUGAGUAAAAUAGAGUAGAAUCAUCUUCCUAUUCCUUCAAGCUUGGACUACUCCGUAAUUCCACUUUUUUUGUUUACAGAACACAAACUUGAAAUUAUUUUGAUAUGAAACCAAGUUAUUGUUUUCAUUUAAUGCUCAUGUCAAAAACUCUCAGCUGGAGAGCAACCCAAGAGGACUGUCAAUAUAAAAAAAGAGGCUUUAGCCCAUCCAGUUCAGAUAAUAAUGAUUAAUUACUAGAAGUGCACAAUGGUUCCUCAGUUUGACCACUCCAGGUCACAUGGAUCAUGCUAGUUUCCUGUAUUAUGGCUCAAUUGCAAUGUAGCACCCAAGCAGUCAACCUCAACUGUCGGAAGGUUUUGUUUCUGGGUGAACGGGUUUAACCAGCUGGGGAAAGGGGGAGUGGGGUGGGGUUGUCCAGGUUUCAAAUAGCCACAUUCUGAUUUUCAGGAAUAUAGACCAUUCUCACCUCAACAACGCUGGCAACCCCAUCAAUUUUUUUGCCUGGAGAAGGAUAAUAUGCAGCUAUUGGUUGGUGAAAUGGUAAAUUACACUCUCAAAAGGAUUCCAUGCUCAUCUACAUAACCCGCUGAUUAGUAUUACUUUUUAAGCCCACUAUCAUCAGAUGUCACUGAUACAUGGACCGGUGCAUUCUAACAUCAAAACGAGAAAAUGCAAUGGGAAAUUAAGUUGUAUGAUUUUCAGAGGUUGCUUACCUUUUGGAUUCCCAUCUCCUAAAAUAAUAACUUUAUCCCUGGGGGGAGCGGUGGCUCCAGGCUGUGAAAAUGUAGGAAGGAAAAAGCCAGCAAAUGUGUUGGAGGACACAUAGGUGUAGGGAAUUCCUUCAGCCUCAAUAGUGCGGCGGAUUUGAGCCUUUAUCUCAAAGGCUGUUUUUGCUGGCUCAACCGCAUGUACACGGUCCACAUCAUUUCCAAACUCUGAUGGGAAGAAUCUCUGGAUGAAAUAAAGCACUUUAAGAAGAAGCUGUAUAACUCAAUAGAUUGAAAAACGGGUCAUAUCUAUUUAGUCAUAUUAGCUCACGACAGGGAUCCUAUAUGGGAUACACUUUGACGAACUUGAUACAAGUGUUCAGCAACCAUAAAGACAUACAAUUAGCAAUUCAAACGAUGGAAGGAAAGAGUGCACUGAUCAGGAUUCUUAAAAAGUGAAAGAAAAAACCAUGUAAGAAAUGUGAAAAAAAAAACUACCAAACUUCAUUCAUAGAAGGAAAAUGCGCACUAAUCAGGAUGCUUAGAAGAUGGAAGAAUAAAAACUAAAUGAAAACAGGAGAAAAAAAAAAAAAAAAACUUCAUUCUUGUUUAGUUGUCUUGCUGCUUUUUGAAGCCUUUUGUAUACCAUUUGUCUACAUUGGGUGUGCUGUCUUUUUUUGUUAGGCGCUUCUCUGUUAAUAUAGUUUGUUUUUAGCCUAUCAAAAAAAGGGGGGGGGGGGGGUGGUGGUUGUGGGUGUAUACAAUGGAUUGGAAGUGGUAUAGCAUGCCCCAUGAAAGGGAAUUAGUAUUUAAAAUUUUUUCCUUUUUACAUCAAAAAUUAAGAUUGACUUUAAAGCAUCGAUCCAACCUGAGUCAAUGCACAUGGAUCUAGACAAGAAUCAAGAUUGUUGAUCCUCAAUGAAUAUUGUAUAUAUGGAAUGUUCUUUCAUGCACUUCCAACAUUUCUAAAGAAGGUAUUAUUACAUUAUGCACAAAGGAUAAAGAUAUCACCAACAAAUUAUAACAAAUUCCAAUAAUAAAUAUCAUAGUACUCGGAUUUGCAAAGAAAAGAGGGAAUUAGAAAGAAGAAAAGGAGAAAAGGAGAGAAAUUUCGUCAAUUUGGACAACUUUACCUUGACAUUUCCAGCUUCUUUGAUGGCAGCAAUGAUCUUGACUUGAUCCGACAACUGUGCGCGACCAACGGUCGAGAUGACCACAUCCACUAGAUUAAUCGCCUUCACCAAACUCUCGUGAUCGUAUAGAUCACCCUGCAACAUAACAUAACCAAUCAAUAAACUAUUUCAUAACCCUAAUUCCCCAGUUAAGAAGUAAGAAUCCAAAAGCAGGUGUGUUUUUUCACUUUACUGAAACCAAAAUAACUUAAAACAUAAACAUCCGAACUUUUCUUUUCCUGAGGAUCGCCACUUUUUUCUUUCUGGAUGAAUGAAGAAUUCCAGUUUUCGUUUUUUUAGGAACUUAAACAUCCAAAAAUUCAAGAACUCCAAUUAAUUUCAUUCAUUUUCUCGGCGGCCAAAAGAAGCAAAAAUUAGAAAACCAAGAAUAGCGAGAAAUGAGAGCGAAUAUUACGUACAUACACCAAAGUCACGCCGGAGCUCUUGAAAAUCUCAAUGAUUUCCGACUUGGAAGGAUUCGAAACGGCGGAUUCUCUGACGAGAGCGAAGGUAGGGUGACCGGACUUAGCGCUGGCAGCGACGAUGAAUUUUCCGAUGUAGCCAGUGCCGCCGAUUAUGAGAAUCUUGCUCUUUUCGGACAUUGUGAGCUUUUCCGGCGAAUCUCCCGCGAGAAAUGUGGAAUUGAGAGGACUAAGCGAAAGGUGACUGGAGAGUUGGUGGGCACCAACGGCCAAAGACAAUGCUCUUGUAGGACAGAGCUCGAGGAUAUUAGGAUUAUGUAAUUACGGAACUAGCCUUGUGUUUUGGUGGUAAUCUCCGUUUUGGUUAUAUUUUGAAUGUGGCUUGAUUUUUAUGUGAUUCAUGAAUGUGUCAAAGUUCGCUUGUUUGAAAAUUGGUUUAGAUUGGAAAGUGAAAAAGUGUAUAUCACAUGAGAGAUUUAUAAAUAGAAAAAAAUGUAUUUUCACACACUAAUGUAAAAAUAAUUACAAAAUAAAAACUCUUUAAAUAAUUAUAAAAUAAAAACCCUUUAAAAAUAAUUUAAAUUUUAUGCACUCAUCGAGUACAUGAAAUGAUAAUUUAAUAUAGUUAUGUGUAACGACCCGCUCUCCCAAUAAUGACUCCCCUAGCUUUAAAAAAACGUCUUUAGGAUUAAGAUUGAUACUAUUUAUAAUAACUCGUAAAACCUAAAAAGGUCAUCACGACUUUAAAAUGCGUUUGCAAGAUUAAAAAAAAAUAAAAAAAAUUAUACUUAGAUAGUGUUAGGAACUUUCUCCCCUAUCUGAUGUGUGAUGUUACAAAUAUCCCCCAUGCAGACACAACAUCCUUGUUGUAUCUCAUGGAAUUGUGGAAUUAGAAUGAUAAUUUAAUGUAAUUAUGUGUAACGAUCCACCCUAUUUGAUGUGGGAUGUCACAAAUAUCCUCAUGCAGACACAACGUCUUUGUUGUAUCUCAUGGAAUUGUGGAGUUAAAAUGAUAAUUUAAUGUAGUUAUGUGUAAUGACUCGUUGUCCCAAUCAUGUAGAUAUUAUUCGUUUUGGACCCAAAAAAUGACUUUCCUGACUUUAAAAAAACGUCUAUGUGAUUAAGAUUGAUAUCGUUUAUAAUAACUCGCAGAACCUAAAAAGGUCCCCACGACUUUAAAAUGUGUUUACAAGAUUUUUAAAAAAAAUUAUACUUAUAUAGUGUUAGGAACUUUCUCUCCAUAUGAUGUGAGAUGUCACAAACAUCCCUAUGCAGACACAACGUCCUUAUUAUAUCUCAUGGAAUUAUGGAGUCAAAUAGACAAACACUCCCUAUGAGGCAAACAAACUCCCACACCGAAAUCAGAGAUCAAUUCCGAUAUUAUUUGUAACGAUCUACUCUCAAUUAUAUAAAUAUUGUCCAUUUUAAUCCGAAAGGGCAUUACAGUUUUAAAACGUGUGUACAGGAUUAAGAAAAGCCUUUACAUAUACAGUGUCAUGAUUUUUUUUUUCCUAUCGGAUGUGAGAUGUCAUAUUAUGAAUCCGUCAUUCUGUCUUUAUUCAUUUGUUGCAUUUAAGAUAUUUGAAAAAUUGAGCGAUUUUAUAAAAUGAGUUUUGAAAAGGCAUGAGAGAAGGAAAAAGAUACUAGUUUAAUUAAGGCUUACAACCCGGUCUUCUUAAAGGGUGGUUAAAUUCCCUGCCUAUUAAAUUUCUUAUCAGGUCGUUAGUCAAUGGAUCUAUUAAAUUCUAGUAUGACUUUGUAGAGUAGUAAUUACUCCAUGGGUGAGUAAUUAUUAAUAUGUAGCUGGGAUCAUUAGUAUAUUUUACUACAUUUCCAAUAGAAAAUGCUACCUCAAAUAAGUUACAUGUCUCCGCGAGACACUCAAGAAUUUCAGCAUAUUCCAAGACUUGACUUCCAAGUUAGCCAAAAGACAUGGAUAUGAGAUUUCAAUUGAAAUGAUUAAACCUUUUUAGAAUGUUUUCACUAUAAUUUCAUCGGCACAAAAAAAUAAUUAUAAAACACUAAAAUCUCUUUUAAAAACAUGUCUUUUAUUUUUAAAUUUAAACACUUACUCAUCAUUUUUAUUAGGAAUGAUAAUGAGACAAGUUUUUUUAGAUAUUUGUCUGCCUUGUUCUUAAUGAAAUGGGUUUAAAAUUUAAAUAAACGAAAUUAGAAUGAAUUUGGGAUUUUUUUAAAAACUUGGUACUAGCUAUUGUCUUUUCUCAUCCUAUCUAAAUUAUAUAUAAAAUUAAUUUAGUUUUAUUUUUAUUUCCCUAUUUGAUAUAUAUAUAUAAUUAUUUAUAAAAUACAUUUAUUUUAAUGUAAUUAAAUUUAAAAAAAUCAAAAUAAAUAAAUAAAUAAGACGAGAUGGGCAUGAAAAAUUCACAUACCUACCUUAUUUAAUUUUUUAAAUAAGAUAGAAAUGAGAAUUAUUUUGAAUAAACAAGAUAAGGUUGAAAUGAGAUCAACUCGUCUUAAACUAGUCUCGUUGCUAUCUCUAUUUUUUAUACUUUUUUAGUUGAAAGGGAUAAAUGAAUUAAAGUUAAGGAUUAAGAUUAAAUAUUCUACUUUACAAAAAAAAAAAUGAGACUAUUAAAUAUUAUUAGAAUUUUAUCAACUAGUCAUAAGAGUUUAAAAAAGAAAAUAUUGAUGAACAAUUCGUAGGAGGAAAUGAAUUGAGAAUAAAUUGACCUAGUGAACCUUCAGUUGCAUUGCCUCCUACUAUGUUCCACUUAUUCAGAAACGAAAGAGAAAGGAUGAGGGAUCUAUAACUAUAAGUUAAAAGGACAAAGGAUCAGGACAAAUAGAGGAUAUAUAUUAUGAGAUAUUAUUUCUAAUAGAAUAUGAUAUUUUAAAAUAUUGCAUUUAAUAUCAUUUAGAAAUUCUUCUCUUAUUUUUAUUUUAAUAAAUAAUUUUUAGUAUUUUAGUAAUAAUGUUUAUGAUUAUAAAUAAUAUAUAUAUAUAUAAAAUUAUAUUAUAUACUAAUAUGCUAAAUAUUUAAAAGCAUUACUAGUAAUUAAAUGAUACUAUAUAUUAAUAUGAUCAUUAUAAAUUUUAUUAUACAUAUAUUUUUUAAUUCUUUUAUUAAGAAGAAUAAAUUUAUAAUGUCAGUUAUACCUUAGGAUUGUUGUAUUUAACAUAUAGAGAUACAAAAGCGAGGAAAAAUGCAAAAGAAACUAUGAUUGAGUUAUUCUAUCAUUUACCGACCAAACAUGAUACAAAAUAUAUUAUCUCAUCUUUUAUCUUAUAUUAUAUUAUAUUCAACAAACUAAACAUAACAUAAUAGACCGACAUUCUAUCAAAUUUCUCGUAUUGUGAUUUUAAAACUUGAAUAGUUCAUGAACUAAACAUUAUUGCCUUUUCUUGUCUCAAUGGAAUAAGCGUUUUAAUUGUUCUAUAUGCAUUUCUUCAUCAAGCUCCCUCUUUUGAGCUAGAAAUAUUAUAUUAGGAGCUAGGUACUCCUUUUUGUAUAGCUCCAUCUCUAAUAAGGUACCAAAGAAGAUAAACUACAAAGGCAAAGAAAAUCUAAUUCCAGAAACUUCUACUUGCAUAAGAUUAGAAAGGCACAUUGUCCUAUUACAGAAUAUGCCCAAUGGCAUAGACAAGGAAAUAACCCACUAUUUUCCACACAACAUAUAUUAAGACAGCUGCACAUGUUUGCUUGUUUAGAUAGUGCAGCAUGACAGUGAAAACUACCAGGACCGAAGUCUACCUCUCAAACAAGCUGGUUGAGCAACUCAUCCACAGUUGUGUAUUUGACAUCGGGAUAUAGCUCUGAAGCCUCCACCCCAAAUGAUGGCUCGAUCUCAAAGUUGGUUUGGUCUCCCUUAAUGAAAACAGAGUGAUCGAUUGAUAAUAUUGCAUUGAGUGGAGCAGAGGCUUCUGCAAGAAACAGAGGAAAACCCAUCAAUAUGAAGAUUUUAGCCAUCAGAUCAACUAUAUAAACAGAUUUUGGGGCGAAAAUAGCCUCUAUAACUGAAAAAUUAUCAUAUGUGGAUACCUUCUUUAACUUAUUAUCAAGCUAGGCCUCUUCAUGUCACCUUGGAGUCAUUUAAUUUAAUUUUUUCCUUUUUAAAUGUAAGUUGAAAAUGCAUUUUGAAAAGAGUGUUUGGACACACGAGUCAAAAUAAUUAUCAAAUUGUAAAAAUAACCCUUUUUUCAAUUUUGUUGAGAGAUCCCAGCAGUCAAAAUAAUCAUAUAAUCAAACCCAGUCUUUUUCUUCCCAACCUUUUUUUUUUUGGCCUUAUCUUAAACUUGCUCUAUUUCUUUUUCAUUUAAGACACUCCAGAAAAACUCAAUCUCAUUUCAUAAUGUCCCACUGAAUUUUCUUAUCUCUCAAACAACUUCUCAUUCUCAUUCGUGAUGUUCACCUAAAGUGUUCUAUGAUUAAAUUUUAUUUAUUACGAAUUUAACUAAGGUGAAAUUUUCAUUAAGAUUGGUUAGCUGAAUUGCACUAGUGUUAUGUUUGGUUGUAAAAAACUUAGUUAGAGUUAAAUUUUCAAUCAUAAUAGUAAUAUGAACUCCACUAUGGUUAAGUUUUAUUUACAAAAAACUUAAGUGGGGUUAGAUUUCUAUUUCAUCUACAAAGAACCUGAUUAUGGUAACUUGAACAAUCCUCUGGUUAAGUUUCAUUUAGAAAGAACUUGAUCAGGGUUAAGUUUCCAUUUCACCUAUAAAGAACUUAAGUAAGAUCAAGGUCUUAAUUAAAAUGUUCAUUUGCAUUGAACUACCAAAACAUCGGACUUAGUAAAAACAAAGUUAGAUGAGAGAUCUAGUAAAUGAUAAGUUUCUAUCUGAUCUCGUCGUCAACAUUGUAGAAGUUCAAAUGAAAUUGCAAAAUAACCCUAAUAAAAAAAAAAUUAGAAAAAACCUCUAACCAAAAACAAUGACAAAAAACAAAACUAAAAACAAAGAGAAAGACGAGAUUCGAUCUCAUUUUCGUCACUAUAGAAACUUACAUGAAACUACAAAAAACCUUAGCAAAAAACAACGACGAAAAACAAAGAGAGAUGGAGAUCUGACCUCAUCUUCUAUAUUGUAGAAGUUCAAAUGAAGUUGCAAAACCCCUAACAAAAAACAACUCCUAAAAUUUGAAAUAGAUAAGGCUCUAAUCUUUGUUCAAGGGUUUGAACUUCACCAGAAAAAGAGAUAGAACAUGAACUUAGAGAGAAGGAGAAGGCUAGGUAUAAAAAAAUGGAAGGGGCAUUUUUGGAGGAAAGAAAGAAGAGUAAAAAUGUCCAAAAUUGGUCAUUUCUCAAAGGGAAGUCAUUAUUUCGAUUUUAAAAGCAUUUUAGUCGACUUCAAUCGAGGUCCGGGGCAUGAUCACCAGAUUUUACCAGCAGGUCAGCUAACAUUUUCUAAGUUAAAAACAAUUUAACCAAGAACCAAUUUCAUUUUAACAAUCUAGCAUAAAGAGAAUGUUCUAUUCACAAUCUCUGUUCCAAUUUAAAUUCACUAGGAAAACCAAAACUUGAACACUUCCAAAAAGGAAAAUGUUUCUCACUAACCUUGGAUGUUCUUCAGAACUUGCUCCUCUGGAACGUAUAUCUUCUCAAGGGUUUUUCCAAUCUUCUUCUCCCACAAGGAGACAAUUUCGUUGUAUGAGUAGGUGUUCUGAGGAGGCCUGACGUAAAGGUUUUUGUUCAAGGUUCUAGGAUCAUCCACAGCUUUAAUAGUAUAGGUGCCAAUGUCAUCCUCCUUGUUAAAAACAGCUGGAGAUGCAAAAGUGAAAAUGAGUAAGAUAGAAUAGAAUCACCUUCUUAUUCCUUCAAGCUUAGACUACUCUGUAAUUCCACCUUUUUUCUUUUACAAAACACAAACUUAAAAUUAUUUUCAUAUGAAACCAAGUUAUUGUUUUCAUUUAAUGCUUAUUUUUUCAAAAACUCUCAGUUGGAAAGCAAACCCCAGAGAACUGUUGAUAAAAAAAAGAGGCUUUAGCCCAUCCUGUUCAGUUUAAAACCCAAUAAUAAUUAUUAGUUACUGGAAAUGCAUAAUGGUUCCUUCAGUUCAACCCCUCCAGGUCACCUGGAUCAUGCUAGUUUCCUGGAUUAUGGCUCAACUGCAGUGUCACACCCAAGCAGUUGACCCCAGCUGUCCGGUUUUCAAAUAGCCACAUUUUGGUUUUCAGGAAUACAGACCAUUCUCACCUCAACAACACUGGCAACCCCAUCAAAUUUUCUGCUUGGAGAAGAUAAUAUGCAGCUAGUGGUUGAUGAAUGCACAUUCAAAUAACCCAUUGAUUAGUAUUACCUUUUAAGCCCACUAUCAUCAGAUGUCAUUGAUCAUGGGAGCGAGUGCAUUCUAAGGUCAAAAGAAGAAAAUGAAACAGAAUUUCAGUUGUUUUACGAUUUUCAGAGGUUGCUUACCUUUUGGAUUACCAUCUCCUGGAAUAAUAAUUUUAUCCCUGGGGGGACCAGUGGCUCCAGGCUGUGAUAAUCUAGAAACGAAAAAGGCAGCGGUGGCUUCAAGCUGUGAUAAUCUAGGAAGGAAAAAGCCAGCAAAGAAGUUGGAGGACACGUAGGUGUAGGGAAUCCCUUCAGCCUCAAUAGCGCGGCGGAUUUGAGCCUUUAUCCCAAAUGCUGUUUUUGCAGGGCCAACCGCAUGGAUACGGUCCACAUCAUUUCCAAACUCUGAUGGGAAGAAUCUCUGGAGGAAAUAAAGCACUUUGAGAAGAAGUCAUAUGACUUGAUAGAUGAAAAACCACUCAUAUCUAUUUAGUCAUAAUAGCUCACAGACAGGGAUCAUCCAUGGGAUACACUAUGAUGAACUUGAUACAAGUGUUCAGCAAGAAUAAAGUUACACUUAGCAAUUCAAAUGAUGGAAGGAAGAAGUGCACCGAUCAGGAUGCUUAAAAAGUGAGAGAAAAAACUAAAUGGAGAAGGUGAAGAAAAAAGCUACCAAACUUCAUUCAUGAAAGGAAAAAGUGCACCAAUCAGGAUGCUUAAAAAGUGGAAGAAAAAACUAAAAGAAAAAAGGUAAAAAAAAAAAAAAAAAAAACCCACCAAACCUCAUUCUGUCCUGAAUCACUUCAGUUUUAAUUUUUAAUUUUUAAUUAUUUAAUUAGUGCUCAAAACAUUUGACACUAUUAAAUUAGUCAUUUGACAUAAUGUAUAUGAUGUUAUCCAAUACCCUAUGUUUGUUGCAUAAGUAUAGUCUCCUUACACAUGGGUUCAAUAAAUUGAGAAAAUGAAUAAACGGUGAAGUUUGAACAAAUGAUUUCCAACCAAAAAAAGGAUCUUAUGCCAUGUUGGACAACCGAUUUACCUAAAACUUAAGUUGUUAGGAUUUAAGCCCACGGUGUAUAUCAUGUUGCCCAUCAGUAUCUAUAUCCAACGAAAGGUCAAGAACCUCCUUGAAACGAUCCUAUUCUAACUUGCCCCUAGCUGCCAAACCCUCAAGGGCAUUAGCCUAAGGGCACAAAGUCAAUAUAGCUCAAGAACCUUCCUGAGAUGUUCCUAUUCCAGCUGACCCUAGCGGCUAGAUCUUCAAGGGCAUUAGCCUAAGGGUGCAAAGUAAAAACCAAGUUUGAGAACCUCCUUGAAAGGACCCGAUUAUAAUUGGUCCCUGGCAGCUAGGCCUUCAGGGACAGAGCAUAUGAGUGUAAAGCCAUUCCAGGACAAGAACCUCCUUAGAAGGACCCCAUCACAAUAGACCCCUAUUGGAGCCUAAGAACAAAAAAUGAAUAAUCAUAUGAAGAAAUAAUAAAACAAAGCAUAAAAGAUAGAAGAGAAGAUAAAAAUAACAAUAUCCUAUGCCACCUCAUUGUCCCCUCCUUCCUUGGAUGAUGCCUCGCUUUUAUCAUUGUCCUCCUCAUCGAUUUCCCCCAAGGCCUUCAUUCGACCCAUGAGCUUGUCGACUUUCAAAAAAUGCUCUUGCAUUAUUGAACCUUAUGAAUAAAAUUAUCUUUUACCACUGUCCACAAAUGAUUUUUUUUUUAAAAGAAUGGCUUUGUCUUAGAGUUCUAUCCUUUUCUUUCUGUUUCUCAUGGAUAAAAAAAACCCCAACCCAAAUAUUUUUUUAUAACAAGGAUAAUUUUUUAUACCUAAAGAAUUAAAAUCGACUUUCAAACACCUAAGCGUUGAGACUCAACUCAAUCCAACCUCAGUCAAUUAACAUGGAUCCAGCAAGAAAAGAUUGUUCAUCCUCAAUGAAUAUUGUGAAGAUGGAAUGUUCUUCCAUGCCUUUUCAACACUCUCAACAUUUCUAAAGAUGGUAUUACUACAUCAUGCGCAAAGGAUAAAGGAAUUACCGACAAAUUAUUACAAAUUCCAAUAAUAAAAAUCAUAGGAACUUGUAUUUGCAAAGAAGAGAUGGAAAUAGAAAGAAGAAAAGGAGAGGAAGAGAUUUCGUCAAUUUGGACGACUUUACCUUGACAUUUCCAGCUUCUUUGAUGGCGGCAAUGAUCUUGACUUGAUCCGAGAACUGUGCGCGACCAACGGUCGAGAUGACCACAUCCACUUGCUUAAUCGCCUUCACCAAACUCUCGUGAUCGUGUAGAUCUCCCUGCAACAUAACAGAACCAAUCAAAAAACUAUUUCAAAGCUGUAAUUCUUCAAUAAGAAGUAAGAAUUCAAAAAUUGGUGUGUGUUUCCACUUUGCUGGAACCAAAGCAAAUCAAAACAUAAACAUCCAAAAUUUUCUUUUCUUUUCCUGCGAAACACUACUUUUUCUUUCUUUCUGGAUGAGUGAAGAGUCUCAGUUUUCUUUUUCUUAGGAACUUAAACUUCCAACUCCAAUGAACUUCGUUCAUUUUCUCCGCGGCCAAAAGAAACAAAAACUAGAAAAGAAAAAAUGGCGAGAAAUGAGAGCGAACAGUACGUACAUAUACCAAAGUCACGCCGGAACUCUUGAAACUCUCAAUGAUUUCCGACAUGGAAGGAUUCGAAACGGUGGAUUCUCUGACGAGAGCGAAGGUAGGGUGACCGGACCUAGCGCUGGCAGCGACGAUGAAUUUUCCGAUGUAUCCAGUGCCGCCGAUGAUGAGAAUCUUGCUCUUUUCGGACAUUGUGAGUUUUUCCGACCAAUCUCCGGCAAGAAAUGUGGAAUUGGAAAAGGCUAGCAAGCAGUAAGCAAUGACGACUGACGAGUAGUGCAGUACUGCAGUGUUCUUAUAUAACAAAGCUUGAGGCUAUAUAGAUUAUGUAAUUACGAAACUAGCCUUUUCUUUCAGCAGUAAUUCCCGCUUUGGUCAUCAUAUGUAUGUGGCUCGAUCUUUGUAUGAUUCACGUGUCCCGAUUCAUAUUUGUUUGAAAAUCGGCUUAGAUUAGUCCAAUUUACAAGACUACACCAUCUUUAAUUUGACAAGAGCAUAUAAUAUAUAUAUAUAUUGUAGCAAUCAUUAAUAUUUUAUUUUAUUUUUGGCACGUGUAAUUUUAUCUCUAGCUCCCAUAUCUUAUUUUAUUGCACACUUUUGACUCCGUUUGGCCAUAUUGAUAUAUAUCAUAGAUUUGCCUUAGAUUUUGGUUAAUAAAAUUUUAAUCAUUAUUGCACGUUUUUAUUCUCCACCCAUGUUUAAUAGUAUAUUUUAGAGACUUAUCGUGGAUAACCACCCCUUCACCUCUCCUACUGAAUUGUCAUUUGAUAUUGCUUGGGGAUCCCACAGAGUUGUCUAGUUGAUAGGUUGAUAAAAUUUACAUGCACGGUCAUUUUCAUGUCCUUAAAGCAAAUACAAAUUAAAAUGUGAUCGAUUGAUGCUAAGAUUUGAAUUUAUCUAUUUAAUAUAAAAUUGUCAUGGUCAAAUGUUUAUUGCUACUCCACGAUAGAAUGAUGAUUUUUAUUUUUGUGACAGUAACAUUUCAAAUUAUAAAAAACAAUGAAUUAAACAAUAUUUUUAUAUUCUUUACAAAAUCUUGGAUGUUUAAAAUUAGACCCUUUAAAUAGACACGUGACUUAAAUGGAAUACCAUAUUUGGGAAUGCACUACACUUAACUUGGAUUGGAAUAUAAUUCAAAAUGGAUAACAAUUAGGAAUGCACCAUGCUUAUUUGGAAUUAAGGGAGAGAGGGAUGACUGUUGGAAUCAUGAAAUGUUAUGGAACGGACCCCUUUUUAAAGAUGUAGAUGUCCCUUAAAGAAACGCUUCCAUCAAAAGAGUUGCACCUAACUAAUAAGAGAUGGGAAUGACUUCCAAAAAAUGUAUCACUUCAUGUUGGUGGCCUUUUUAUUAAACCUAGAAGCAUGUGGGGUUAGGCUCACACAUAUCUGGUGUGGCUUGUGCACAUGUGAGCCUAUGUUAGGCCCAAGUCCACAUUCAUCUAGUUGGAUAUAUGCAUAUGUGAGUUUAUGUAAAAACCCAUGUUUUCUUUUAAGCUUACAAAAUACUUGUAAAGUACCUUUUCGACUAGUGAUCUUCUAAGAAACGCUUCCAUCAAAAGAGUUGCACCUAUCUAAUAAGAAAUGGAAAAGGCGUCUAAAGAAGAUCUCACUUUAUGUUGUUGGUGACCUUUUUUCAAUGUUUUUAAAAUUGGACCGAUUAUUAAAUAUAAAAAAAUUACUCAUUCACGGUUCAUUAAUCGGACUGACAGUUGAACCAGUAACGUCAUAAAUAUAUAAUUUAUAAAUUAUUAAAAUAAAAAUAAAAAUGUAUGUAUUGUUUAAAAAUUAAAAUUUUAUUUGAAAAUCAGAAAAUUAGUUUUAAAAUUAAAAUUAAAAUUAAAAUCAUGGGGGGGAGGGGGAGGGGAGGGGGUUCGUUCUGCCAGUGAGAGAGCGACGUCCGACCAAUCAGCAAUUGACGAUAGUGGGAAGAAGCAGCUAGGGUAGUAGGGUAAGAGGGGUUAUUGGAAAAAAUAAUAAUAAUAAAAGAAAGGUUGAACGGUUCAAUGGUCAAAUCGUCGGUUCAAUCGGUCUAAUUCUGGUUUGACUACUUUUCGACCUAAUUCAUCAAACCAAACCGAAAUUGUGACUUGCUGGUUCGAUCCAAUUUUUAAAACCGUGUAUUUUUAUUAAACCUAAAAGGUGGGUGUAGGAUCACACCUAUCCAAUGUGGCUUGUGCACACGUGAGCCUAUGUUACGCCCAUGUACACAUUCAUCCAAUUAGGUCCAUGCAUAUGUGAGUUGAGGUUAAAAACCAUGUUUUCUUUUUACCUUACAAAAUACUUAUAAAGUACUUUUUCUGACUACUAAUCUUCUAAUGUGGGAUUGCUUUUUUCCACCACAUUCCACAUGAAUGCAUAGGUAACUUUGAGCUCAAUUUGUCAUUAACCCAUAAAUGGUUUUGAGUAUGUAAAUUUCUUAUCCACCAAUACCUACUCGUGCAGACGUUAUUGGUUAUCAUUUGGAGAAAGGUGUCCAACCUAUUGAUUGUUGUAAUUUAGAUUGUCCCAAUUCUAAUAGUUGUGGUUUUAAGGCCUAGAAUUGUUUCGUUGAUUCUCAUCUUAACCCUUCUCUUUAUUCAAUGACUUCCCUUGAAAGUAUUAUUUGAUGAUCUCCUAUCAGGGGGUUGGUCUCUUUCUUAUCUUCUCUUCUUUUUAAAUAGUCCAUUACCUUAUCAUGCAAUUCUUUAAAUGAGAUAGCAGUAUCACAAGCUCUCACAACAACAGUGGUCUCUUUGUAUUUUGAACCUAAUUCAUUGAGAGUGUAAACCACCAGAUCAUCAUUGUGCAAGAGUGAACUAAUAAUAGUAAGUUCAUCAACAAUACUUUCGAAGAUUUGGAUGUAUUCACUAAUAGUUUUUUGUUCUUUGAUCGUUUUUAUAGCCUUUCCCAUGAGGUUAGGAUGCAUGACCUUGAGUAAUUGGCAUUAAGUUUUUUUGGGUGAGACCAUGACUCUAAUGCCUUAGUAGCACAAACCACAAAACAAAAAUAGACUCCAAACUACAAUCUAACAUGAGAUGAAAUAACAAAUUAUUUUAAGGUUAAUUUUGUUGACUUUCCAUGAGGUUUUGACUAAAUAUAUUUAGUUCAUAUUAGUUUGAAAUUUCAUCAAAUACCUCCUCUACCCUUCUCACAAAUUAUUUCACUUACCUGUCUUCUAACUCAAAAUAAAGGAAGUAUUUGACGAUAUUUUAAAUUUAUAAAAACUAGGUAUAUUUAACCAAAACUUGAGGGAAAGUAAGUGAAAUUAACCUAAUUAUCUUACUUUUAAUAUAGCCAAUAUUCCAUAUCUCGUAUUGGUACUUUCCUUCUCCUUUCAAAUUGUUGUAGAAGGGCAAAGAUAUGACCGUUGUUACAUGUGCUAAAUCAUAGUAGUAUAUAAAGAAGCAUGCGGAACUAAACUCUUCACAAUGGAAAGUUUUUAAUCGUAGUUACAUCACUACAUCAAUCAACUCUGUGGUGCUAAUUUGGUAAAAUGUCAAAAGACUUUGACCCAUUAAAGGUAAAAAAGAAUAAAAAUAAAAAUUUGUUGUAGCAAUGGAUACUCUAAAACCAUAAAUACAAAGAAUUUAUAUAACCUAUCACUCGUAUUAUUUUACAUUGUAUAAGUUUACAAUAGAAAUGAUCGACUAAAUAUACAUUGGUAAUAUUAUAGCUUAGGGUCAAAUGUCAUGCGUUAUGAAUGUAAAGAAAAAUUGAACUUGAUGAUUUGGUUGAGCCUUUAUUUGCCAUUAAUAUAUGCCUUUAUGGACUGUCCACUGUAAAUUCCUUUCACUCCUCUCAUUGAAGAAUGAAACUCCACACUUUAUUCAAGUUUAAAAUGUUUUCUUGCAUAUUAAGGAGGAAAUUAAAAAAUAAAUAAAUAAAUAAAGGAAAGGAAAAUGAUCCGUUAAAAAACUAUAUUAUGAAUGUUAGAUAUCUUAAAAAACAAAAAAAUAUAUAUUUGUAGACCCCAUUUUGGGGAGCUGUCAUUUUUCUCACGUUUCCUUUCUUGCAGCUAGCUGUGGCCAAGUGUCACCAUCUUGCAUGGCCACGUGUCACUCCCGGAUUAGUCAAUAUGGGAUCAAAAUAGUGGAAUUGAUGGACCCAUCAGAGGAAGACACCUGGAAAGUGAAGAACAUUCUGGAAUCAGGGGAGCGUAUCUUCUGUUAUGGGAAGGUUGCCAGCUGCAGGAGUAGAGGAGUGGAGGCUGGUUGCUGCAGAGAGAGUGGAGGCUGGCAGAGGAGUGGAGGAGAGGUUUUGCUUUUGAAAAGGCCGUUAGAGAUAUUUUUAGGAUGAGGCAGCGGCAUUGAAGGGGAGAGUUUGGAGAGAUUCUUGAGGAGCAAGCUAGAUAUUGAAAAGAGAGAACGAGACAGAGAGAGCUGCAUUGAGAGGGAGGGAUUUCUUUUAAGCUGAGGCUGGUUGCUGCAGAGAGAGUGGAGGCUGGCAGAGGAGUUUUGGAGAGAAAGAGAAGGGUUUUUGGAGAGAAAGAGAAGGGGUUUUGGAGAGAAAGAGAAGGGUUUUUGGAGAGAAAGAGAAGGAGUUUUGGAGGGAACAGAGAGCUAGAGGGGGAGGAAAAACACUAGGAAGAAAAACAGAGAAAUCAGAAGAGACGGUUUUGGGUAGAGGAGGUUAUCAAGAACCAGAAGAAAAGGGCCUCCAGGUUCUUUUUGAGGGGUAAGUUUUCCACUGUGUUCUUGUUCUUUCUUUUUCUCUUCAUAUAUUGUUGUUGAGAUGCAUUGUUGUUGAUCUUUGGAUGGGUUAUACUCUGUUCUUCAUGGUUGACUGCUCCCCUUUUGCUUCUGUUUAUGGCUGAAAAUUGAUUUAAAUCCAUUUUUACCUUCUUUGUGGCAUUUUAAAGAAAGAAAAAGACCUUUUAAUUCACCCAUCUGCAAACCCACUAAUGAAGAGGUGAAGCAUAGUUCUUCAUGCUUCAUCUCAUUUUUCUUCCUCCAUGGCUCUGUUUUUGCUACUUUUCUCUCUGCUCUUCGUGUUUGGACUUUCUUGGAUAUGAAGCCGUAAUGGGGAGUGAGGCUAUGGGAUGACGAGACAGUGAGGGAUUUGGACUCCUUGAAUCCGUUUAUCCUGUAAAGGCUACUAAGGGCUUGGUAGAUCAAUGUUUGAGCAUAUGAACAGAGAGUGGUCUACACCGGGGAUACCAUUAUUGCCAGUGAUCCGUGUGGCAGAGGUUAGUGGGCUGUAGAGAGGGGAUCCUUUCUGACGGAGCAAAGGAACAAGAGAUGAAUUCAUGGGUUUUCUGAAUUGUUUUCACUAAGAAGGAGUUCACCCAGUACUCUUAGGCCUAAGAAGCUCGGCAUUUCUUUGCAAACAUAAGAAGCACAGGCUGGAACUAUGGAGGCCAUAGGUUUUACAUGGUAAAAAAGUGGGUUGACUGAGGAAUUGAGAAAGAAAUAAAGCAAGCAAAGCCGUCAUCGAAUGACGCCGGCGGCGAAGCGCCUCCACUUUGACUACGUCGUGCCCUCAGUUAUCGACUCUAACCACCGCUUCUCUAGUCUACGCGUGUCGCCGGAAGACUUGACGCUGAUCGUUUCUCUGCCUCUCUUUAUUUUCGGCUCUGUCAGGGGUCGAAACUCAUCCUCCGCUGGCGAUUGCGACGAGUGUCUCUCCUAGCUUAAGCCUCACGAUCAGCUUCGGCUGUUCCUGAUCUGCCGUCACGCUUCCCAUGCUCUAUACAUCAACACGCUGCUGGCAUCCAGUCAGGCAUGUCCUUGUAUCGUGUUCCGCAGGGAAUUCUGGGCCUGAUCUGCUCACUGUGGUGAGUGUCGCGCCAUGGAUUUUAACUGAUGGUGUCCCGACGAUUGACAAGAAGUUUUCCGGUGGAUGUGGUUCUUGGCGACGGAAGAAUCUUCGGUGGUGUGUCUAUGUACUUCGGCGAUCCUCUAAAGGACACUAAUCUCCCCAUUAGUUUACGCUGGUGACUGUGGAAGCAGAUUCCGCUUCAUCGGAAAACCCAAUCCUUCUCAAGUGCCUGGAAAAGCAGUCAUUUGUGAUCGGAACUUCACCUCGGCGCCCAAAGUCGCAGCGUUCUCCAACUGGUUUAGACAUCGACGAGAGACAAGUUGAUUUUAAUAUAAUUUCUGGCACGUCCAUUGCAUGUCCGUACGUGAGUGGAAAUAGCGACUGUGGCAGUGUACCCAAACGGCUUCACCACUCUCAAGCAUGAUGCUCUGAGAGUUGAAUUGAAAUGGAGGGGCGUUCUCAUAUUGCAAUUGUUGUUCCUAGAACUGAUGAGUCAAUCAGUAAAUUGGUUCAGCAACCUCAGAAGUUAAUAGAUCUCCGUGAGGUUCGCGAUAUUACUCAUAUGCCAUUUGCAGAAAGAGAUGACUGAAGGGAAACGGGUUCCUCUGAAUAUUACUAAAUUUGAUUAUGAAUGUUUGAGAAAGACCGCUGACAGUCAAGCAUAUUAAGGGGAUCCAUAUAAAGAAUUGUGGGUGUCCUUUGUUGACCGAGUUGGUCUUAGUCACAGAUAUCCUCAUCCAUGGCUGCUGAUAUAUCUCCUAAUUCUUCUUGAUGCUGCGGAAGAUAUUGUUGAAAUAGGAAAAACUGGGUGGAGAGAUCAAUUGUUACUCUGAUUUGAUUUUGGAUUGAAAAGGGAUGGGUUCAUUCAUGGAGCAUGUUCUGCCAGGAACGCUGUUUCUAGCAGUGAGUUUGUGGCACAUAUGCAGCGCAGUGGUGAGAUUUGUGAUGAACCCAAAGGGGUUUCAGGUUCGGGUUUUGAACCCAGUGUCUGGUUUUGAUGGAAGGCUUAGAUACUUGGAGCUUUAUGUGGUGGCAAUCGGAGCUUUUAUUGAUAUGUGCAUAGAGUUUUUGUAUUCAACUCAUCUCAAGUUCUUUGUGAAUGGGGUCUUGAACCCAUCUCACACGAAUGACUUUGAGCACUCUGGGAUGCUUCUCAUGUUCUUUAUUUUCGGGGUCGUCGCCUUGUUCUCCCAGCAAACCGGGCUUGUUCAAAACUGAAUAACCAAUGCUCAAUAGCCUUCACAUAGCUCCAUUCUGCCCUCACAUACUUCCAGCGCGUGACUUGUUUGAAUGAGAGCGACUUUUAUUGCCAAACAGUUACUUGGGGAACCGGUGACGUUACUCCUAUUGCAGGAUUGCUUGGCAAAUCUCAAUUCCAGAUUCACUUAGGAGGGAUCCUUGGCUGCUAAUUGGAAGGCUUCAAGACAGAAGGAAGCGAAGAGUGAUGAUACCAGGGAAGUGACUCAAUUAUCUACUCUACACUUGCCCGCUCAUGGCCCCAAAAUCUCAGAAGUGGUCAAGAAGUUGGAAGACUGCAUGUUCUGAAAUUGACCUAGCCUUUCAAAUCGGGUUCCCUACAUUGAAAUAAGAAGCAGUAGCAUGAGUUAUCCUCCAGAAUGGCUCUAUUCUCUGCAUGGUGCAUGGCCACCUUUGGGCCACAGUGCCAUUUCCCAUUUCACCAUCUCUAAUUUUGAAAAAUAUUCUUUUAAAUCCCAUUCUUCAAAUAAUUUUCUAGAUUUUAGUUUGUUUUAAAAUAAUUUCAAACUCGUCCACUUUUCAUCUUUAGUUUCUUUUUCUUAGAUUCCAAAAAUCCAUUUUUCCAAUAAAAUUUUGCUACCACUUUUCUUCCUAGCAAGCCAUUUUCAUAUCUCUUCUGUUUUUUUUAAAUUGUUUUGAAAUAAGCAAGAAUUAAUUCCGUAAUUCCGAAUAAUGGAAUUUAUGGAAUUAAUUCAUGCUAAGAUAAAUGGGCUUUGGUGGGGGCCCAACAUAUGAGAUUUUAUGAUUGAUUGACUGAUUGAUUGAUUCAUUAGCUAUAUGUGAUUGAUUUAUUCUGUUCCUUGGUAUACACAUUAUCCUUCUGUGUUUGUUCACUAACCCUGUUUCUGAUAGCACGUUACGGCUCGUGGCCCCGGUACGCACUCUCUAUACCUAUUCUGUUUCUCAUAUGUGCAUAAUUGAUUCGAGUAUUCAUUGCUUUCCUCAUCAAUUGCCACAUCAGCUUCAUUUUAUUAGUAGAGACCCGAUUUUAGGGACUUAGAGGGGUGCUAUGGUCUUUACCGUACCUUCCCGAUAAGUAACCUGACCCCCGAACCCGAUCCGGUUUUUCGUAGAUCACCUUUUCCAAAUAAGGAGUCACACUUAGGGUUUUUCUUUCUUAUUUUGUUUACCCUUUUAAAAAUAAAACAAAAAUACAGCUAAAAUCGAGCUCGCCAUUGAGUGGGAAACGCAUUGAGAUAGAUCGAAAUGCGGGGUCCACAACGCGUUCUUUUAUUCUCUUUAGUUUUAUAAAAAAGAUGGUAAAAAUGUAGUGAUCUUCUUUUAGUUUCUGUUUUAUAAGUGAGAGGGGACUAAGAUAGUAUUUAUUUUUUGACUGAAUAUAAAAAAUCAAAAUAUAUACAAAUUUACUUUAAUUAUAUUGGACGAUGUUAAUAGGUUACUUUUAGCUAAAUAAAAAAAAAAUCAAAACCUUAGAAAAAUAUUUUAAGUUUUAUUUACUCAAAUCAAUGUUUCCAAAAAUAUCCUUAUUGUCAAAACUGACUUAAAUGAAAAAUAAAUAAAAAAAUAUAAGCAAAAAACAAUUUAAUAGUUUUUAAAAAUAUUAUUAAAUCAUCAUUUGGUUCCCUUUUAUUCUGUCACUUUAAUUCUUUAAAACUAAAUUUAAUUCUUUUAUAACAAUAGAACAUAGGGGCCUAAGGUUGGAAAAUGACAAUUUACCCUAUUUGAAAAAAGAAAAAUUAUAUAUUCAUUUCUAGCCAAAAACAACUUUAUAUGUAAUUGUCAUUUUUUAUCAACCCCCACCGCUGAUGCAAAAGCCUUAACCUUGAAUGGAAUUUUAAUUUCAAAGACAUUUAGCACAUAGGAUAAAAAUUGUGCAUUUCAAUGAUCAAAGCUUCAUAUCUUAAAAGGUAGGUAAAUUUUAAAAUUCAACUAAGUUAUGUCUUCAAAAGACAAUAUUUAAUUGGAUUCUUUCGAGGUGUCAUAGAAUUAGAAAUAUUUUUUGAAUUAUUAUAUUUUAAAAAAUAUAUUUUUUUAAAUUGCCUUACUUUGUUCAAAAUGCCAAGAAGCAGGCAUAGGAACUAUAACAAAGCUCCAUCUCUAUUAGGGUACCAGAGAGGAUGAAUUGAAAAGGCUAGGAAAAUCUAAUUCCAGAAACUUCUACUUGCAUAAGAUACAGAGUGACUACAGAAUAUGCUCAAUGGCAUAGACAAGGAGGCCACACAUGCUUGCUUAUUUAGAUGGUGCAACAUGACAAUGAAAACUAGCAGGACCAGAAAUUACCUCUCACACAAACUGGUCAAG
rnacentral:lncRNA from 1 species